AGACAAUGUGAAUAUUAAGCUAGACUUAUCUCGACAUGAGACCACUUAUGAUCCAGAAAAGUCAGACAAAGUUUGAAUUUGGAAUGAAGUUAGAAGGGUACAAUAGGGUCAAAACUAUAAACAAGAUGUGUUUUGACAACAAUAGUCACUUCCACAUAUCCCCCAACAGAGAAUCGUCAACCCCUGGCUAAUGCUUCCACCCCUGGGCUUUAGUCUUUGGUUGUGAAGCCAGGGUUUGCCAGUUGUUCAAACACCUACUACAGUAUCAUGUUGUGGUGUGACUAUGCGUUGGUCAUUGAGAGGUUAAGCAAACAGAAACCAGCAGCCACUGCCAACAAGUGGUUCAUGAUGACUCAACUAACAUGCCAAGCCCUAGGACCAUGCCUCAGGACUACCUGGCCUGAUGACUCCUUGCUGUCCCCAGUCCACCUGGUCGUGCUGCUGCUCCAGUUUCAACUGUUCUGCCUGCAGCUAUGGAACCCUGAUCUGUUCACCGGACGUACUACCUUGUCCCAGACCUGGUGUUUUUCGACUCUCUACCGCCCUUGCUGUCUCUAACUCUGAAUGAUCGGCUAUGAAAAGCCAACUGACAUUUACUCCUGAGGUGCUGACCUGUUGCACCCUCUACAACCACUAUGAUUAUUAUUAUUAUUUUACCUUGCUAGUCAUCUAUGAACGUUUGAACAUCUUGGCCGUGUACUGUUAUAAUCUCCACCCGGAACAGCCAGAAGAGGACUGGCCACCCCUCAGAGCCUUGUUCCUCUCUAGGUUUCUUCCUAGGUCCCAGCCUUUCUAGGGAGUUUGUUACAUCUGCAUUGCUUGCUGUUUGGGGUUUUAGGAUGUUUUCUGUAUAGCACUUUGUUACAUCGGCUAAUGUAAAAAGGGCUUUAUGAAUGAAUUUGAUUUGAUUUUUAUUUGAUUACUUCUCUUAAAUGUUAUGCACAAAUUUGUUUACAUUCCUGUUAGUGAGCAUUGCUCCUUUGCCAAGAUAAUCCAUUCACCUGACAAGUCUGGCAUAUCAAGAACCUGAUUAAACAUUAUGACCAUUACACAGGUGCACCUUGUGCUGGGGGCAAUAAAAGGCCACUCCAAAAUGUGCAGUUUUGUCACACAACACAAUGUCACAGAUGUCUCAAGUUCUGAGGGAGCGUGCAAUUGGCAUGCUGACUGCAGAAAUGUUCACCAGUGCUGUUGCCAGACAAUUUAAUGUUAAUUUCUUUACUAUAAGCUGUCUCUAACGUCGCUUUAGAGAAUUUGGCACUACAUCCAAUCGGCCUCACAACAGCAGACCAAAUGUAAGCAAGCCAGCCCAGGACCUCCACAUCUGGAUUACCUGCCUUCAUCUGAGACCAACUACCCGGACAGAUGAUUUAAUUGAGGAGUAUUUAUGUCACAUGUAUGACGUCAGAUGGUAGAGUGGUUUGCUGAUGUCAACCUUUUGAACAGAGUGCCCCAUGGUUGCGGUGGAGUUAUGGUAUGGGCAGGCAUAAGCUACGGACAACAAACACAAUUUAAUUUUAUCGAUAGCAAUUUGAAUGCACAGAGAUACAAUAAUGAGGCCCAUUGUCUUGGCAUUCAUCCACCGCCAUCACCUCAUGUUUCAGCAUGAUAAUGCAUGGCCCCAUGUCGCAAGGAUCGGUACAUGAUUCCUGGAAGCUGAAAAUGUCCCAGUUCAUGUUCAUUGAACAACCGUCCUGUCUGGUGAAGCAAUCGUUUGUCCUUCCUACGCGGUGCCUAUAUAUUGCCUGUGGGUUUAUUACUCAGUGCUCUUAAUGAAGUACCGUCUCAGAGAUUAGUGGAGGCACGUGCUUGCACAAUCCUUCGUAUUGUUGAAGUCGGCAUACAUUUUUUUAUCUAAAAGGUCUUGCUCACUCAACACAAAGGACUAACUGUGUACAGUUCAGGUGACGACUGUUGACAUAUGGUGCAUGAACCUAGUCAUUUUGGAUGACAUACGUACCUAUUACACCAUGCUUUGAUAAGCUUUUGACAAGGUAAGUAUCAACAUUGUUUAAUGAAUGUAUUCAAUGACUAAUAAAGUCAGACAAUGAGGA